rnacentral:rRNA from 1 species
GAGCGGACAGAUGGGAGCUUGCUCCCUGAUGUUAGCGGCGGACGGGUGAGUAACACGUGGGUAACCUGCCUGUAAGACUGGGAUAACUCCGGGAAACCGGGGCUAAUACCGGAUGGUUGUCUGAACCGCAUGGUUCAGACAUAAAAGGUGGCUUCGGCUACCACUUACAGAUGGACCCGCGGCGCAUUAGCUAGUUGGUGAGGUAACGGCUCACCAAGGCGACGAUGCGUAGCCGACCUGAGAGGGUGAUCGGCCACACUGGGACUGAGACACGGCCCAGACUCCUACGGGAGGCAGCAGUAGGGAAUCUUCCGCAAUGGACGAAAGUCUGACGGAGCAACGCCGCGUGAGUGAUGAAGGUUUUCGGAUCGUAAAGCUCUGUUGUUAGGGAAGAACAAGUGCCGUUCAAAUAGGGCGGCACCUUGACGGUACCUAACCAGAAAGCCACGGCUAACUACGUGCCAGCAGCCGCGGUAAUACGUAGGUGGCAAGCGUUGUCCGGAAUUAUUGGGCGUAAAGGGCUCGCAGGCGGUUUCUUAAGUCUGAUGUGAAAGCCCCCGGCUCAACCGGGGAGGGUCAUUGGAAACUGGGGAACUUGAGUGCAGAAGAGGAGAGUGGAAUUCCACGUGUAGCGGUGAAAUGCGUAGAGAUGUGGAGGAACACCAGUGGCGAAGGCGACUCUCUGGUCUGUAACUGACGCUGAGGAGCGAAAGCGUGGGGAGCGAACAGGAUUAGAUACCCUGGUAGUCCACGCCGUAAACGAUGAGUGC